AAGAAAUUAGUUAAUUCAUAACAUUAGAUUGUCAAGCUAAAAUUACUAUAAAUAGUAUUUCUUG
rnacentral:tRNA from 1 species